rnacentral:rRNA from 1 species
AACGAACGCUGGCGGCAGGCCUAACACAUGCAAGUCGAGCGCUUCCCUUCGGGGAGGAGCGGCGGACGGGUUAGUAACGCGUGGGAACAUACCCUUUUCUAAGGAAUAGCCUCGGGAAACUGAGAGUAAUACCUUAUACGCCCUUCGGGGAAAGGAUUUAUCGGAGAAGGAUUGGCCCGCGUAAGAUUAGAUAGUUGGUGGGGUAAUGGCCUACCAAGUCUACGAUCUUUAGCUGGUUUGAGAGGAUGAUCAGCAACACUGGGACUGAGACACGGCCCAGACUCCUACGGGAGGCAGCAGUGGGGAAUCUUAGACAAUGGGCGCAAGCCUGAUCUAGCCAUGCCGCGUGAGUGACGAAGGCCUUAGGGUCGUAAAGCUCUUUCGCCAGAGAUGAUAAUGACAGUAUCUGGUAAAGAAACCCCGGCUAACUCCGUGCCAGCAGCCGCGGUAA